UGGGGAAUAUUGCACAAUGGGCGCAAGCCUGAUGCAGCCAUGCCGCGUGUAUGAAGAAGGCCUUCGGGUUGUAAAGUACUUUCAGCGGGGAGGAAGGCGAUAAGGUUAAUAACCUUGUCGAUUGACGUUACCCGCAGAAGAAGCACCGGCUAACUCCGUGCCAGCAGCCGCGGUAAUACGGAGGGUGCAAGCGUUAAUCGGAAUUACUGGGCGUAAAGCGCACGCAGGCGGUCUGUCAAGUCGGAUGUGAAAUCCCCGGGCUCAACCUGGGAACUGCAUUCGAAACUGGCAGGCUAGAGUCUUGUAGUGGGGGGUAGAAUUCCAGGUGUAGCGGUGAAAUGCGUAGAGAUCUGGAGGAAUACCGGUGGCGAAGGCGGCCCCCUGGACAAAGACUGACGCUCAGGUGCGAAAGCGUGGGGAGCAAACA
rnacentral:rRNA from 1 species